rnacentral:rRNA from 1 species
UACGGGGGGGGCAAGCGUUGUUCGGAAUUACUGGGCGUAAAGGGCUCGUAGGUGGCCAACUAAGUCGGACGUGAAAUCCCCAGGCUCAACCUGGGAACUGCGUCCGAUACUGAAUGGCUUGAAUCCGGGAGAGGGAUGCAGAAUUCCAGGUGUAGCGGUGAAAUGCGUAGAUAUCUGGAGGAAUACCGGUGGCGAAGGCGGCAUCCUGGACCGGCAUUGACGCUGAGGCGCGAAAGCCAGGGGAGCAAACGGG